rnacentral:tRNA from 1 species
UAUGCAAUAGUAUAAGUGUAUGUGUGAUUUUGGAUCACAUGGUGUAGUUUCGCUACUUGCAUAA